rnacentral:rRNA from 1 species
AGAGUUUGAUCAUGGCUCAGGAUUAACGCUAGCGGCAGGCCUAAUACAUGCAAGUCGAACGGCAGCGGGUGUAGCAAUACAUGCCGGCGAGUGGCGCACGGGUGCGUAACGCGUAUGCAAUCUACCUGUAACUGGGGAAUAGCCUUCCGAAAGGAAGAUUAAUACCGCAUAAUAUCAUGAAGUGGCAUCAUUUUAUGAUCAAAACUCCGGUGGUUACAGAUGAGCAUGCGUGACAUUAGCUAGUUGGUGAGGUAACGGCUCACCAAGGCUACGAUGUCUAGGGGGUCUGAGAGGAUGAUCCCCCACACUGGUACUGAGACACGGACCAGACCCCUACGGGAGGCAGCAGUAAGGAAUAUUGGACAAUGGCCGCAAGGCUGAUCCAGCCAUGCCGCGUGCAGGAUGAAGGUGCUCUGCAUUGUAAACUGCUUUUGUUCGGGAAUAAACCCUUUCACGUGUGAGAGGUUGAAUGUACCGAAAGAAUAAGGGACGGCUAACUUCGUGCCAGCAGCCGCGGUAAUACGAAGGUCCCAAGCGUUAUCCGGAUUUAUUGGGUUUAAAGGGUGCGUAGGCGGGUUAUUAAGUCAGUGGUGAAAGCUCCCAGCUCAACUGGGAAACUGCCAUUGAUACUGAUAGUCUUGAGUAUGAUUGAAGUGGGCGGAAUGUGUCAUGUAGCGGUGAAAUGCUUAGAUAUGACACAGAACACCGAUUGCGAAGGCAGCUCACUAAGCCAUAACUGACGCUGAUGCACGAAAGCGUGGGGAGCAAACAGGAUUAGAUACCCUGGUAGUCCACGCCCUAAACGAUGAUCACUCGAUGUGUGCGAUAAACUGUACGCGUCCAAGCGAAAGCAUUAAGUGAUCCACCUGGGGAGUACGACCGCAAGGUUGAAACUCAAAUGAAUUGACGG